GGCUGGGUCGGGCUGCCCGGGCGACGCCGGAGUUGCAGUUGGAGGCUGCGGGAAUACAAAGGGGUGUCUACCUUUCAAGAGGAACAAGAAAAGAGAGGUGGGAAUAUGGAACCAAGCCAAAGAUUCUGCAGGAUCCUGCACAGUGAGCAUUGUUCUGGUUCAGGCCACUGUGCUCAACUGAACAGUAUCAGUAGCACAACAUUUGGAUGCCCUUGAAUACUGUUCCUGUUUCAAUUCAUUUGUUUGUCUGAGAAUUGGGAAUGCAUGUCUGGGCAGUGACAAGAGGCCAAAGAAAGCAGAAGAUGUGUGAAGAGGAGAAUCGAUUUUCCAUAAUGAGAUGUCAGAAACACUGCUUGCUAAGUCAGCCUGAAACCAAAGAAGAAGAAUGGCAUUCAGUGAUAAGAACUGUUCAUGAGCCUGAAUUCCAUGGCUGCUCCUGCACAAACCACCGGACACAGAUCCGGGGAAAGGCAACAAAGUUGCCUCUACUUUGUGAGUGGCUAGAAGUUACUGGACAUCUGGGAGCCCUGGUGCCUUGACUGUAAAAUGGAGACAACAACUCCUCUCAUGGUUGUUAUGACAAGGAAAUGAGAGAUACAUAUCAAGUGCCUAACAUAGAGCUGGCUCCUAUGAACCAGAACUUAUUAAGCAAUUGUAGAAGGCAAGAUUUAAAGCACAGACUUUGGAGCAGUCCUUGGGUUCCAAUCCUGGCUGCAUCGUUUAUCAUCUCUGAGCCUCAGUUUCCACAUCUGUAACAAAAGCUUUCAUUUUACAGAUGUAAAAGCAGUGUGUACCUCCAAGGGGUGGUUGUGAGGAUUAAUCAAGUUAAUACACAUGGCAUUCUCAGAUCAGUGCCUUGCACGGCAAUUUACUCAAUAAAUGUUAGCGAUUUUUUUUCAAUACAUGGUCAUUUUUUUUUUUUUUGGUCUCUUUUUAACUGCUCAAGAGGAAGACUGUGAGGAUUUUAAAUAGCCUGGAUUCUCUUCCUUCUGUCAACCAUAUGUCUUAACAUACUAUUACGAGUUACUCCUCCCCAAUAGUAGCAGUAUUGCUGGUUGUGAGGAGUUAACCCGGCCAUGCCUAUUACCUUGGGAAACCUACAGAAGCCUGCUGAAUGCAAUUUUCUAUCUGCAAAAUGGUGAGGAUACUGGGUGUUUACAUGACUGGGUUCCUGACAUGGAAUAGGCAUUUAAUAAAUACUAACUAUAAUUAUAUCAUCAUCAAUAUCAUGCAAUUUAUCUACAUUAGAAACCAACAGACUUGACAAGUAUAGUGGAGUCAGCCAUUAGUUAAAAUAGUUUGAGAGAUUCACUGAAAUUUUAGCUAACUGCUAGCUCCAAGUGGAAAGAUAAUAAAUUAUUAUUACAUUCAUUAAAUGUUCUUUGUAAUCAGGUUAGACAUUAAGUAUCCAUUAAAAAGAGUCCUUGGGACUAACAUAUACUUCAGAGGACUUUUUAAAGAUUGUAUUAAUAAAACAUAUAAACAAUAAUUUUAAUAAUAUAUUUAUGAUAGGAGGGGUAUAUUCUUGGGUAUACAGUAAAAAGAAAGGGAAGCUGUUCCCAACAUCACUGAGAGACUGAGAGAAAGGACCAUAUGGCCAGGUAAUCAACCAUUUGUAUAACUUAAUUUCCUUGUUUGGAAAGUGAGACAACAGUAUCUGUUCUAUCCAAUUCAAAGAAAUGGUCAUGAGUGUCAAAUUAUGAUAACUUACAUGAACAAAACCCUGGAAAUGCAUAAGAUGCUUUGGCAUAUUAGACACUGUUCCUCUUAUGAUUUCCCAUAUCAGACUGAAUGUUUCCUGCCUGUAAGCUGAGAUAACUGCUCUCUGGGGCCCAGCAUCACCUUGUAGAGUCUGGGGAAAGGUCAAUAAAAAUCCUCUGGAGAAUACAGUUGCAGACAAAGUAUAGUUCAAGCAGCACAGCUGGGCAUUCUUCAACACCACUGUUCUCAGUAGCUCUAAGACCUCCUUAUCAUGACUUACUUCCUUGUAUUUUCCUGACUCUCCAACUUAUUUAUAAACGGAAAAGAGCACAUCAUUCAAAGCAGUCGGUUAACUUAGGUAAGGAAAGCCAACAAGCAUGAUUGUGACUCAAGAUAGUUGCUCUUGUUAAGUCACUGCUCCUGCUCUCCCUCUCCCUCCCCCUCCCCCUCUCCCUCCAUCUCUGUCUCCCUCUCUCUCCUCUGUCUCCCUCUCUCUCCACGGUCUCCCUCUGAUGCCUAGCUGAAGCUGGACUGUACUGCCGCCAUCUUGGCUCACUGCAACCUCCCUGCCUGAUUCUCCUGCCUCAGCCUGCCCAGUGCCUGGGAUUGCAGGCGGGCGCCGCCACGCCUGACUGGUUUUCGUUUUUUUUUUUGGUGGAGACGGGGUUUCGCUGUGUUGGCCGGGCUGGUCUCCAGCUCCUAACCCCAAGUGAUCUGCCAGCCUUGGCCUCCCGAGGUGCCGGGAUUGCAGACGGAGUCUCGUUCACUCAGUGCUCAAUGUUGCCCAGGCUGGAGUGCAGUGGCGUGAUCCCCGCUCGCUACAACCUCCACCUCCCAGCCGCCUGCCUUGGCCUCCCAAAGUGCCGAGAUUGCAGCUUCUGCCCGGCCGCCACCCCCUCUGGGAAGUGAGGAGCAUCUCUGCCUGGCCGCCCAUCGUCUGGGAUGUCAGGAGCCCCUCUGCCCGGCCGCCCAGUCUGGGAAGUGAGGAGCGCCUCUGCCCGGCUGCCCAGUCUGGUAAGUGAGGAGCGCCUCUGCCCGGCUGCCCAGUCUGGGAAGUGAGGAGCGCCUCUUCCCGGCCGCCAUCCCAUCUAGGAAGUGAGGAGCGUCUCUGCCCGGCCGCCCAUCAUCUGAGAUGUGGGGAGUGCCUCUGCCCCGCCGCCCCGUCUGGGAUGUGAGGAGCGCCUCUGCCCGGCCACGACCCCAUCUGGGAGGUGAGGAGCGUCUCUGCCCGGCCACCCCGUCCGAGAAGUGAGGAGCCCCUCCGCCCGGCAGCCGCCCCGUCUGAGAAGGUCUUGCUCUGUCACCCAGGCUGGAGUUCAGUGGCCCAUCCAUAGCUCACUGCAGCCUCGACCUCCUGGGCUUCAAAGUGAUCCUCCUGCCUCAGCCUGCCAAGCAGCUAGGACUGUGGAGGUGUCCAAUAAGCAGCUGAAAGCACAGAGCAGUAGCAUGGGACCGAGCCGUCGGCAUGGAGGUCAGGAUCACGGAGAGGAGGUCAGGAUCACUUUACUCUGUGAAAACACUAUGCCUGGGAUUCCGACUUCCUUCUCUCCACUUCUCUGCCUUGUCUCUCUCCAAAUACCAAUGAAGAACAAAAACAGUAUUUUGAAAUACUGAUCAAUGAGCUUCUCCUUCCACCUGUGCUUACAAAAUUCCUGAAGGCCUUCUAAUGAUCCCCAGCCUAGGCAGCAAAACUAGCCCACCCAAAAAUAAAACAAUGACCAUGAAUAGCUGAUCACUAAUUUCACAAGUCAUUGCUCCAAGGCAGAAAGACCUCCUCCCCGACCUGCAGAUGGGACAAAAUAAUCUGAAGGGAAAAGUGAAGAAGCCACAAGUAGAGGAGAUGGUGAGGUAAGGGACCCCCAACCUCUAAGGAUCAAGCACCAUAUACUGUGAACAUCAUUAUGCAACAAGCCACCCAUAGAUUGUGCAGUAAGAUAAUUGUCCAUCUCCUCUCUGAUUUACCUACUAUAAGAAACACCCUUACACUCAACAGCCCAUGGUACGCUAAACCCUCAUGAAUAAAACUAGGGCCUGAAUACCUAUGGUUUACUCCAACUAUAGGGGUGGGAGUAACAUGAAGGGAAACCUUCCAUAGCUGUCCAUGGAUGAAACCAGCUGAAAAGCUCCCAUAGAGGCCAGACAGGGAAUUUCACAACUAUAAUGUGUUCUUCAGAAACAUGCAUGAGGAAUUCUCUUGUAGUAUAAUUUAAAUUAUCUCAGCUUUGCACAGUGGCAGUAUUGUAGCCAGUGAGGUUCAUCCGAGGCACAAUUAUUGGCUAAUUAAACUAUCUCACUGACCAAGGCUACCUAUAACUCAUAUAAACAAAGUGUUUUUCCUUUAUCUUGGUUGAACCUAGGGCUUAAGAAUUCCUUGAUGUUCCAUGACUUGGAUACAUUAAGGCAAUCUAUUGAUGGUAAACUUUUAUCAGAUGCCAAUGUAGUCUCCCAAGAUUUCCUGGAGGGGAAAUGGAUAACAACACUGAACUUACUGACUCCAAUUAGAACAGCCUAUUUUGGUUCCUGUGUAAUACUCUCAAGAAAGAGUCUACUUCCUUUGUCCCCAUACAGGAUGAAUUUGUUUCUCCAUCACUUCUGCUUUAUUAUUUCACUCCCUCCAGACAUAAGUCAUAAUUAAAGAUAAUGCAUUUUUCUCUGAGUAAAGGAAAUUACAUUAUAUUACAUAAAUAAAUGAAGCUUUAAUUUUGUUCUCCAUAUUUCUCAACAGCUUUGCAGAUGGUAUUAAGAAACAGGGCAUCUGUGUCUCCCUGUGGAAAAACCCAGGCUCUUCUGGAACUGUGGGCUCCUUGUGUUGCUGUCAUGUAAUCAAGAAGCUAGAGGUAGCAGAACCCAAUCCUUACACCCAAAACACUAGCCAAGGGCAUCUUUCUCUCUUGCAUCUAGCUAUGACUCCAAAAGAGAAGAGCAAAUGGUCGCUACAUGCAAAACAAGUUGCCAACCACCAUAGGUUUUGUCUUUCAAAUUAUCAAAUAUAUGUAUACAUACUGAGACAGAGUUUCACUCUUGUUGCCCAGGCUACAGUGCAAUGGUGUGAUUUCAGCUCACUGCAACCUCCACCUCCCAGGUUCAAGCGAUUCUCAUGCCUCAGCCUCCCGAGUAGCUGGGAUUACAGGUGCCCACCACCAUGCAUGGCUAAUUUUUGCAUUUUCAGUAGAGAUGGGGUUUCACCAUGUUAGUCAAGCUGGUCUCGAACUCCUGACUUCAGGUGAUCCACCCAAAAGUGCUGGGAUUACAGGCGUGAGCCACCGCACCCAGCCAAAUUAUCAAAUAUUUUUUAAAAGUGUUAUAUCCAGUUUUCGCAGGGCUACAAUGAGAGAUAUUCUCAUAUACAGUUUGGUGGGAUGUGUGGAGGAAAGAUGGUAAGAAAUAUUUUUGCAUAUUUAUGUGGUAGAAUAUUGUAUGUCCAUUGAAUAUAAAAUUAUAGAAGAAUAUUUAAUGUAAUGGGAAAUAUUCAUGUGAAAUGAAAAAGCAGAUUAUAAAAUAGCAUCUCUAGUAUAUUUUUGUUAAAAUUAUAAAAAUUGUCAGUAAUAUAUAGAUGGAUUCUACACAUUUAUAACAGUUUUAGUAUCAGGUGGUUUUUAAAUUUUAUUUGUGUUUUUGUAUUUUCCAAAUUUUCUACAAUGACUAUGGUAUUUUUUUUAAGAGAUGGAGUCUCACUCUGAUGCCCAGGCUGAAGUGUAAUGGUAUGAUCAUGGCUUACUGUCGCCUCAAAUUCCCAGGCUCAAGUGAUCCUUCCACCUCAGCCUCUUGAGUAGCUGGGCCUACAGGCACAUGCCAUUACCCUUGGCAAUUUUAUUUUUGGUAGAGACAGAGUUUUGCCGUGUUGCCCAGGCUGGUCUCAAACUCCUGAGCUCAAGUGAUACUCCUGCCUUGGCCUCCCAAAGUGCUAGGAGUAUAGGCAUGAGCCACCACACUUGGUCUAGUAUUGCUUUUGAUUUCACACUAAAAAACAUAACAAGAGAGCAUGCUUGACUUCUGGCAAACCCUAAUCCCAGGAGAAUAUUCUACUUGUAUGCUUUCUUUUAUAUAAAUAAAUGCUGUCCUGGUUGCAUUUAGAAUCCAUACAUUCAUUCAUUCAUUUGUUCAUUAAUUCAGCAAAUAUUAGUUUAGCUCUUACUUUGUACCGGAACAUCCCUAAAUGCUGGGAAUAGUGAGGGAAACAAGGUAAAGUCCUUGCUCUUUUGGAGCUGGUGUUUUAGUUAGGGAAGGCAGUCAACAAACAGGAAGACAAACAAGUGAGACAGUGUUUGAUAGUGUCAGGUGUUCUGAAGAAAAUAAAACAGGGUGAUAGCAUGAGAGGGAGCAAACAGGUAGAUUGGAGGAAUUACUCAGAAUUAGGCACUGAGGGAAGACCUUCCAAGGAGCUGAAAUUUGAGCUAAAACUUAAAGAAAAGAAACAGCCAUACAAAGACCAGAGAGAAGACCCUCCUGGGUGGGGGAAACAGCUCUUGCAAAGGUCCUUGAGAUUGCCAUGAGCUCAGCCUAUUCAAGGGAGAACGGGAAACAGUCUGAGGGGUGGGCAGGAGGCAAAGCAAGAAGGGCUUCAUAGGCCAGAGGAAGGAGCUGAGAUUUUAACAUAAGUAGAUCUGAGCUCCACUUACCAAAAUAAUCCCCUGGCUACUGUAUGGAAAAUAUGGAUGAGAGGAUGGGGAUAGGAGUGGAAGCAGAGAACCCCUCAGGCGAUAACUGCACAUCCAGUAGACAGAGAUGAGGGGCUGCACAUGGCUUGGGUGGCCAUGGAAAUACAUUUGGGUUAUACUGAAAAGGUUAGGAUUUUACAGAUGAAUUUGACAAUUCAAUAUCUUAUGACCACUGGGCAAUGGGAGAAGUUUGACGGGAAAGGCAAGCAUUUACAAGUCUGACUCUACUAAGAGCCUGUUCUGGAAAGAGAACAUGGCCCCAGGGGACAUAAGACAUGAAGGAUGACCCACGUGGACUGUCAAUCAGCAAGCAGGGGCACGUCCCCAGCCACAGGGUCAGAGUCAGAAGCCCGGUCUAGCCCCAGAGACAAGGGCUGUCAAGGUCCUGAGGGAGCAGAGUGCUGGGGGUCAGGGCGGGGACCAGGGCAGGGACUCAGGAAAGGGAAGGUGGGCAUGAGAGCCAGAGAGCAGGACAGAGCAACAGAGAGAGCAAACUAAGGGCCCAUCCAAAGGGCUGGGCUUGGGCUUCUCAGUUCCCUCCCCAGUAAGGGUACAAUUGGUCCUAGAGCUGGGGUGGGGCCAAGCCUGUAUUUAGGGGCCAAUUUGUUCAGCUAGGCCAAGGUGCACAGAUCACAAGGGAUGCUCUAUUUUUUAAAUAUGGAUAACCCUUUCCUUAAUAACAAAAUUUCCAGCCUAUGUUCCGAUUAUCAAGUGAGUCAUUCUGAAAACCCUGUUUAUUUCUCUUUCACCCAAAGCAUCUGCCCAUUAUCACAUUUCUAAUGUUGAAGUGGAGAUAUGAGGAUUUUGAAAGUUCCCAAUUGGAUGCCUCUAAAGGAAGUGAGGGCUCUUUCAAUUACCACAUUUAAAAAGAAGAUGGCACCAUUUGUCCAAGGAAUCUCAUUACUGGGUAUAUGCCCAAAGGAAUAUAAAUCAUUCUAUUAUAAAGAUACAAGCAAGUGUGUGUUCAUUGCGGCACUAUUCACAAUAGCAAAAAAUCAACCCAAAUCCCCAUCAAUGAGAGACUGGAUUAAAAAAAGUGGUACAUAUAUACCAUGGAAUACUAUGCAGCCAUAAAAAAGAACAAGAUCAUGUCCUUUGGAGGGACAUGGAGGGAGCUGGAAGCCAUUAGCUUCAGAAAACUAACACGGGAACAGAAAACCACACACCAAAUGUUCUCACUUGUAAGUGGGAGUUGAACAAUGAGAACACAUGGACACAGAGAGGGGAACAACACACACUGGGGCCUGUCAGCAGGGGGUCGGGGGAGGGAGAGCGUCAGGAUAAAUAGCUAAUGUAUGUAGGGCUUAAUACCUAGGUGAGGUAAUAAGAUGAUAGGUGCAGCAAACCACCAUGGCACACGUCUACCUAUGUAACAAACAUGCACGUUCUGUACAUGUAUCCUGGAACUUAAAAUUUUCUAAAAAAGUAAAAUAAAACUGUCUUUCAUAGAAUAAAAAGCAAGAAAGAAGAUGGCUAUACCUUUUGCUUUCAAAAGCAAUGACCAAUGAUCUAAAACCAUGUAAAUAAGAGCAGUAGCAAUCUGGAGAAAGAAUUAUUAAAGAACAAUCAGAGUGGAGAAGAAACUCAGAAAUAAUCUCAUCAUGUGUUACAGAAGAGAAAAUAAGAUCUAGGUCAUAUCAAUGUCCAGCACGUGCCAGAUAAGAAGUAAAUGUUAAUCAAGUGAACAAAUGAAUGAACAAAGCUUGGCCCUCUCAUUCUCUGUCCAAUGCUCUUCCCGCCACCAGAGAAUCCCCACUAAUAUUGUAUUCGGUGUCCACUCAAGUGCAGUCCAGCACCUGUGUAUAUUGGAGACUUAGGGGUCACCAUACGAUGCUUAAAUGAGAGUGACACAGCACCUACCCAAUAGCUUGGCAAAAGCCCUGACUGUGUUUGGGUGACUCACCCUGGUUUACCAGAGUGAUAGACCAAAAGCAUGUAAAAUGGCAUGUCACCACCAUAACUAGAGCAGACAGUUCUCACAUCUAUUUUGGAAUCUAGGGCUUUGGCAUGAACAGAGAUUUCAGAGUUUCAAAAACAUAUCACCCCCGCCCCUUUUCGUUUUGGUAGACUCAUCUUCAAGAUCUAGAGCAGCUGUUUCCA
rnacentral:lncRNA from 1 species